rnacentral:misc_RNA from 1 species
GCCGCCCAGCAAGAGGGUUCGCCGCAGUGUGUAUACGCGAGAAAAUUGUCACGCGAUUUUAUAAUUUCGAAUUCAGUAUUUUGUUUCCGUCUCAGCUGGAGUUUAUUGCAAGUUUAUUGCGCUAAAUUGAAUAUGGAGUAUAGUUAGGUGAUAUUUUGUGUUAAGUGUUAACAUAUUUUGAACCCCGCAGACUCAUGUAAGUACGCAUUUUGUUGUGGUAAUAGACACGACUUUCGUUAGUAGUGAGAGUGACGAUCUUGGUUAUAUCUGUAACGUUAGAUCUUGUAUGAGAUGAUUUAGGUAAAUGCAUAGUGUUGUUGUCCUUAAACCUAUGUCUCCAAGUUGUAUGACGUGAUGUCAUGUAUUCCAGAAACGGCAACAUGGAACUCAAGAGAGAUAUGUUUGUUUCUAUUAUUUGAGUAAGAAGAUGCUCGAAUAGUGCAAUUAGACCGUAUUGAGUGCGGUGGUAAAGGCCAUAAUUGAUUUGCUGAUUUAGCGUAAUCAAAAGUUUAUGAGUCUUCGAUUAACUUUUAUGAAAAGACAUUUUAAACUGAGUUAUUUUAAAACACGUUACCGUGAAGAUUUAUUCUGCGUUUUGAAGCCAGAAUCUUCAGCCAGCCACUGUAAGUCUAUCGCAGCUUUACUAUUCUCAAACCUUAAGUAUUGAAUAUGGACAAACUCACCGUGUAUCAACUGAAAUGUGAGCUAAAGGCCCGCGGGAGAGGGACCACAGGGAAUAAGGCUGAUCUGGUUGCUUCGCUGCGUGAUGCAUUAGACGAAGAAGGAAUUGAUUUUGAGAGUUGGGCUGAAUUUGUCCCAAGUAAGGCCGCUGGGAUAUUUAACGCAAAUGAAAACAUGCCCCAAGCUAGUGCCGCCUUACCGAGUGGGCAACGAAGGAAUACCGUCGAAAUUACUGGAAGUGGCGAAGCUCCUCAAAUAAGCGAUACUAUUUCUAUCCAAACAUCUGCAUCGGCCGCUGAAAUGACAAGGUUAAAAUUGAUAGAAGAAGACGCGCUUCGUGCGGGCUUAGAAGCACAGCUGAAAAUUGUGCUAGAAAAACAGGAGUUAGAUAGAAAGAUGUCUGAAUUGGCAAGACAGAAGGAAAUUCUUGAAUAUACAGAGGCUAUAGAAAUUUCUAGAGCCAAGGUGAGGGCGCUAGGUAGACAUGAAGACCAUGAAAUAGUUGAAUCGAAUCGCGACAAAGAGACCCCGAGAUCGAUAUCGAAUGCUACGAACGACACGAACACGACAAACCGAAGGAGCCACGACGGCCAUCUAAAUACUGAGAGCAGCAAUAUUGCAGGACUGUUGAGACGAGAAAGGGAAAUAACUGCUGGGUUGAUGCGCUUGCCGCCUGUUGAAUUGCCCAAAUUUGGAGGUGAUGUUACUGAAUUUCCUCAUUUCAUGAAGGCAUUUAACCUAAAAAUUGCCUCAAAGCUGUCCACCGACGAAGAAAGAUUAUUUUAUUUAGAGCAGAAUAUGAUUCCAGAAAGCAAGCCACAUAGUAUCGUUACAGCUUGCUUAUACCUGGAUAACGGCUACGAAGAAGCUAAGAACCUUCUCACACGACGGUACGGUUCAGAGAGCGUUUUGGCAGCGGCAUUUGUUGAUCAAUUUGAAAAUUUAUUGCAGUUGAAACCAGACGAUAUUGAAGGGUUAGACCAUUUUGCACUGGAGCUUAUGAAGUGCAAGAAUGCCUUUGGUGUAAAUAGCGCAGCCAUGAGUGACCCCAGAACCCUGAGGAGUAUAAGCGCCAAGUUACCCGUUCACUCGCAACACAGAUGGCGACAUCGAGCCGACUCCAUUAAUGAAAAUGAGGGUAGAGCAGUGGUGUUUGAUGAUCUAGUGAACUUCGUUGUACAGGAGGCAAGAGUUGCAACCAAUCCUGUGUUUGGAAAUCGUGGGUCAAAUGCAACUGUAAGGCAAAAUAACUCUGUCACUGUGGGCAGAUUUCGUCCAAAACCGCUGGUGGCCGCGACACGGAUGGUUAGUGCCGGAGCAAGCCCAUGUAUUCACUGUCAAGAUAAGGGGCAUGAACUCACCGAUUGUAGUUGCUUUGCGAAGUUGCCACACCAGGACAAAAUUGCCAUUAUUAGGGAUUCAGCGCUGUGUUACGGCUGCUUGAAGCAAGGCCAUCGCAGUACUGACUGUAGACGACGAGCUAGCUGUUCCAUUUGUGCUUCCCGACAUCCUACAUCUCUCCAUAUCAAUAGAUCAGGAGGCAACAGUGAAAGAUCAGAAAAUGGUGUCCCAAAUGUAACAUCUUGCACCACGAAAGGUGGUGCAUCCGUCUCAUUUAGACCGGCUCUCCCGAUCGUCCCUGUUGUCCUACAUCACGGUCUUGAAAGGAAAUGUACACUUGCUUUUCUGGACAGCGGAUCAACUCAUUCAUUUAUUUCAGAAGGAUUGCUUAAAACUUUGAAACUACAGAGCCUGCCACAGACCAGACUAUCGCUGACAACAGUUGACAGAGAAGUUAGCAUCACGACACGAAUAGUCAACGGAGCUUGGUUGUCGGACGAGAAUGGUGGGAACAUUUUAGAGCUGCCUCAGUUGUUUUCUCUCGAAAAAAUUCCAGUGGACUUUGCUGAUUUUCCUACUCAAACUGAAAUAAGUAAAUGGAAACAUCUGGAAGGGGUCAAACUAGAUCUGUGCCAAAAUGAAGAAGUUGAACUUUUAUUGGGCUCCAACGCCUUUUUAGCCAUGGAACCAUUAGAAGUGGUGACAAGCAACGGAGAGGGUGGUCCUUUUGCCGUGCGAACAAGAUACGGAUGGGUUGUGAGCGGUCUCCGUGGGGUAUCAUCACCAUUUCCAGCGAAAUGUUACAAAACACUGGUACAUCCUGAGUUGCAACACCUUGAAGGGCUUGUACAACAGCUAUACAAUAAGGAACAUGAAGAAAAUCUACAUUCAAAUAAAAUGGGACCAUCUGUUGAGGACAAGAAAUGGGAGAAAUUCGUUCACGCGUCAACUAGACUGAUUAAAGAUCAUUAUGAGGUGGGACUACCGGUUGUAGAUGAAGGGCUGAUUCUGCCAAAUAACAGGAAUAUGGCGGCAAGCAGGCUACUGAGCUUGAGAAAUAAGCUUAGGCGGAGUGAUAAAUUGGCGUCCGAUUACAAGCUAUAUAUGAAAAACAUGUUGCAAAAUGGUUUCGCAGAGCCCGUACCAAAUGCCGAUUUAUCCAGAAAUGAUGGUAAGGUAUGGUAUCUUCCACAUCACGCCGUUCAGCAUCCCCAAAAACCGGACAAGGUUCGCAUUGUAUUUGAUGGCGCCGCAACCUUUAAAGGAAUCUCUUUAAAUGACAAUCUUUUGCAGGGACCAGACCAAACGAAUGCACUUUUAGACGUGUUGACCAGAUUCCGUAUGGAGAACAUAGCUUUCACAGCCGAUAUUGAAAAUAUGUUCCAUCAAGUUUAUGUUCCAGAGUCUGACCGCGAUUUAUUCAGAUUCCUGUGGUGGAAAGAUGGCGAUCCUCAAAAUGAUAUAUUGGAAUACCGCAUGAAAGUUCAUGUUUUUGGAGCCACUUCUUCACCCAGUAUAGCAUGCUUUGCAUUACGCAAGACAGCUUUAGACAACCGAGGGUGUUUCUCGAAUGAAAGCUGUGCUACUAUUGAGAAGAAUUUUUACGUCGACGACUUGCUGAAGGCAAUACCUGACGAAGGAAGCGCUGUACUGCUGCUUCGAGACCUGAUGGUUUUGUGCAAACGAGGGGGAUUUACUUUAAAGAAGAUUUCGAGCAAUAGUUCCGCUCUGAUUGCAUCCAUUCCUAGCGAAUCGCGGUCUAAGCAAUUGGCGUACUGGACCAGCGAUAGUAGUCACCUUCCCACUGAGCGAGUAUUGGGUGUAAUCUGGGACACUGAACAAGAUGUGUUAAAGAUGGCAUUGGAUCACGACAAGCUAGUUGCCCGGCCGAUGACAAGACGAGGAUUACUGUCAGCUGUAAGCUCCUUGUAUGAUCCAAUUGGCAUGUCAUGCCCAUCCAUGCUGAAGGGACGCCUCAUCUUGCAAGAAUUGAGCAGGCUACAUAAUGGAUGGGAUGAUAGUAUUCCGCUUGUCAAGCAGCAAGAGUGGACGGCUUGGCUAUCAGCUCUAAAUGAAGUGAAUGAAUUGUCAGUGAAUCGUUGUGUAAAACCUGAUAACUUUGGAGACGUAGUAUCUUGUCAACUUCAUCAUUUUGCUGACGCCAGUGAAGUAGCAUACGGAACGGUUUCUUACAUCCGGCUUACGAAUGCCAAAGGACAAAUCUGUUGUUCUUUUCUCAAGGGCAAGAUGCAUUUAGCGCCUCUCAAAGGAGCUACAAUACCUCGUCUGGAGCUCAUGGCGGCAACGACGGCGGUAAAAAUAUGCUCCCUGAUAGGUGAUACCAUUGAAUUCGAUGAUGUCGAGCAUAUAUUUUGGACUGACAGCACCACCGUUUUAAGGUACAUUCAGAACAAAGCGAAGCGUUUUCACACCUUUGUAGCAAAUAGAUUGGCAAUAAUCCACGAUGGGUCAAGGCCAGAACAAUGGAGGUAUGUCAAUAGUUCAGACAAUCCAGCUGACGACGUGUCUAGGGGUGUCCAAAGUAAGAGAUGGCUGAAUGGACCUGAAUUCCUUUGGAAGGACAAAGGCUUUUGGCCCUCAGCACCGAUCGCCUUCAGGGAGGUGACGGAGGACGACCCCGAAGUGCGAAAAACGGCGAUAUGCGCUAAAACUGCGAUUGUACCAGAUUCUGAAACUCCGAUGGAGCGGCUCAUUUUACAUUAUAGUCAGAAAGAAUCCCUGCUCAGAGGAUUGUCGUGGCUGUCACGAUUUACAAGAUCACUUAAGGAAGGACAGAAGGGGUUUAUAAAAAUGUCUCCCCCUUUGUGCUAUGAGGAGCAACGUGAAGCAGAAAAGAAAAUAAUUCGACAUAUACAAGAACAUGAAUUUCCAAGGGAGUAUGAAAACCUGUCAGUUGGCGCUGAGGUACCAAGAACCAGUCGAUUAGUGAAGCUUCACCCUUUCAUGCAAGACGGUAUCAUUAGGGUAGGUGGAAGAUUAGCAGAGGCUUCGAUUUUAGAAGAAACAAAACAUCCUAUCGUUAUUCCGAGUCGUGGUCAUUUUACAGAACUACUCAUUACGGACGCCCAUGAAGCCGUAGGGCACAGUGGGAGACAGUUCACGCUAGCGAAACUUCGAAAACGUUUUUGGAUUCUGAAGGGAAUUUCAAGUGUAAGACGUGUUCUAAACAGUUGUUUGAGUUGCACUAAACUCUACCGACCACCUGAAUCACAACAAAUGGCCAAUCUUCCGUCUGACAGAGUGCAAGCUCAAGAGCCACCGUUUACGCGAACAGGUGUGGAUUACUUUGGACCAUUUUAUGUCACUCAAGGUCGUUCACAGGUCAAGAGAUAUGGGGUCAUAUUCACCUGUCUUGCUAUCAGGGCCGUACAUCUGGAGGUUGCUGAAAAUCUGACGUCAGACUCAUUCAUUUGCGCCCUGCGCAGAUUCGUUGCACGUAGAGGUAAUGUUCAAAUACUAAGGUCUGACAACGGAACAAAUUUUACUGGAGCCAACAGGGAACUGCGCUUAGAGAUGACAAGGUUAUCAGAAAAUGAGCAUGUGUUACAAAGAGCAAUGCUCAAGCGAGGAAUUACAUGGAAAUUCAACGUGGCAGGCGCCUCCCAUCAUGGUGGGGUGUGGGAACGUCAGAUACGAUCCAUAGGAAGAAUACUCGAAUCCCUUUUAACAUCGCAAUCGCUCAAGGAAGAGACACUCCGAACCAUAUUUUGUGAAGUUGAAAACAUACUGAACAGUAGACCGCUUACGCCAGUAUCUAGCGACGUCAGGGACGAUCCACCUCUCUCGCCAAAUGACAUUCUUCUUCUGGGAGGACAUGGUGUAACGUUACCAUUCGGAGUCUUCUCCCAGGCGGACCAUGGAAAUAGAAAAAAAUGGAAGCAAGCUCGUCAUUUCGCAAAUGUUUUUUGGACACGGUGGAGAUCCGAAUACUUACCGACUCUACAAGAAAGGCACGUUAUGACAGAAACAAGAAAGAACUUUCAACCAGGAGACACAGUUCUGCUUGUUGAUGAUAGUGUUCCCAGAGGCCAGUGGCCACUCGGUUUGAUUGAAGCUGUUCGAACUAGUUCCGAUGGAUUGGUUCGAUCUGCGACUGUCCGAACAAGAGGGACAGUAAUGCAGCGCCCAGUGACAAAACUGGUGAAGUUAAAUUGAAACCUCUCGUUUUCGACCCCUCGUGGUUUCAAGGGGGUGGGUGUUGGCGCCGCCCAGCAAGAGGGUUCGCCGCAGUGUGUAUACGCGAGAAAAUUGUCACGCGAUUUUAUAAUUUCGAAUUCAGUAUUUUGUUUCCGUCUCAGCUGGAGUUUAUUGCAAGUUUAUUGCGCUAAAUUGAAUAUGGAGUAUAGUUAGGUGAUAUUUUGUGUUAAGUGUUAACAUAUUUUGAACCCCGCAGACUCAUAAACGGCAACAUGGAACUCAAGAGAGA